rnacentral:rRNA from 1 species
GACGAACGCUGGCGGCGUGCUUAACACAUGCAAGUCGAACGGAAAGGCCCUGCUUUUGUGGGGUGCUCGAGUGGCGAACGGGUGAGUAACACGUGAGUAACCUGCCCUUGACUUUGGGAUAACUUCAGGAAACUGGGGCUAAUACCGGAUAGGAGCUCCUGCUGCAUGGUGGGGGUUGGAAAGUUUCGGCGGUUGGGGAUGGACUCGCGGCUUAUCAGCUUGUUGGUGGGGUAGUGGCUUACCAAGGCUUUGACGGGUAGCCGGCCUGGGAGGGUGACCGGACACAUUGGGACUGAGAUACGGCCCAGACUACAAUGGGAGGCAGCGGUGGGGAAGAGUGCACAAUGGGAGGAAGCCUGAUGCAGCAAAGCCGCGUGCGGGAUGACGGCCUUCGGGUUGUAAACCGCUUUCGCCUGUGACGAAGCGUGAGUGACGGUAAUGGGUAAAGAAGCACCGGCUAACUACGUG